AUUGAACGCUGGCGGCAGGCCUAACACAUGCAAGUCGAACGGUAACAGGAAGCCUCUUGCUGCUUCGCUGACGAGUGGCGGACGGGUGAGUAAUGUCUGGGAAGCUGCCUGAUGGAGGGGGAUAACUACUGGAAACGGUAGCUAAUACCGCAUAAUGUCGCAAGACCAAAGAGGGGGACCUUCGGGCCUCUUGCCAUCGGAUGUGCCCAGAUGGGAUUAGCUUGUUGGUGGGGUAACGGCUCACCAAGGCGACGAUCCCUAGCUGGUCUGAGAGGAUGACCAGCCACACUGGAACUGAGACACGGUCCAGACUCCUACGGGAGGCAGCAGUGGGGAAUAUUGCACAAUGGGCGCAAGCCUGAUGCAGCCAUGCCGCGUGUAUGAAGAAGGCCUUCGGGUUGUAAAGUACUUUCAGCGGGGAGGAAGGGAGUAAAGUUAAUACCUUUGCUCAUUGACGUUACCCGCAGAAGAAGCACCGGCUAACUCCGUG
rnacentral:rRNA from 1 species